rnacentral:lncRNA from 1 species
UCCACUAUUUUCUUAAUUAUAUAUAAUUUUUUGUUUUUUGUGUGGUGGUGGUUGUACUACUGAGAAACAAAAAACACAAACUUGUGCAUUAGACUUAUCUAUCAAAAACCAAACCCACUCCUUCGUCAAAGUGUGCAUUGUUGUAAGUUGAAGAGAUUCUUGAGAUUUGGUCUUUGGACUCAUGGAUUCACCAUUUAUAUUCAUACUUUUUCUUGGCCACAAAUCUCUUUAGGAGCUUAUCUAGUGGUGUUGAAAUAAGUAAAAAGAGCCACGUGAGUGUAGCUCAAUCUUCAAUCUCACCGUCCCCAAAGCCUGAAACCAAAACGUUCAUUGUAGUUACGCCAGACAGCUUGAAACUCUUCAGUCUUCACGGAAUGUGUUUAAGCGUGCCUUGAGAUUCGAUGUUCUCUCACGCUUGCAUGAACAAUGAUCACUGUCGAGCGAAACAAUAAUCAUCUCAUGUGAAAAAAGAAAACUCUCGAUCAACAAUUAAACAAGUGGAAUAACUAACCGGCGAGGGAAGUGAGAGGACCCACAAUAAGACCGCAGGAAGAACACCAUACACAUUAGAAACCAAGACAUGGAUGUAACAAAGCACCUUGAAACACUCAGAUUUUCAAGGGAUAGUGAGUACUCCUUAGGAAAAUAAACAUGAAAUGAACAACCAAACCGCAACAUGGAAAAUGUAACAAAGCACCUUGAAAGACUCAGAUUUUCAAGAACAAAGACCCAAAAAAAACAAUCAAAUCAUAUCCAAAUCCAAUUAAAGAGCAACCAUUGUAUACAAAGGAGGAGAGACCUCUAUGCCAACUUCACAUGAAGUCUCAAUCGAAGAGAUUAAAAAAAAAAAAGAAACCAAACGAAGUCAUAUUACCUGUUGUUAAGGAAAGCUAUAUGCUAACAAAGUCACAUUACCAAUAAUAGCCAAAUGGGUCUUGUAAUAAGGAGCAAGAACACAAACAAAUGUUAACAAACUCUACAAGAUCUUAAUCAAAGAACAUUGUGCAAGCUUCUUCACUUCUCUGCGUGGCCACCCACCUACGUGUAGUGGAGAUGAUGUGGUUGUACCAUGUGCAAAAAGUUACACAGAAGGUAAAACAAAAGUGUCCGAGCCGAUUUUCGAACCCGUGACCUUAGUGUGCGAGACUAGCUUAGACCUUUUUUUUUCC